rnacentral:rRNA from 1 species
UACGGAAGGGGCUAGCGUUGUUCGGAAUUACUGGGCGUAAAGCGCACGUAGGCGGAUUGUUAAGUCGGGGGUGAAAUCCUGAGGCUCAACCUCGAACUGCCUCGAUACUGGCAAUCUCGAGUCCGGAAGAGGUUGGUGGAACAGCUAGUGUAGAGGUGAAAUUCGUAGAUAUUAGCUAGAACACCAGUGGCGAAGGCGGCCAACUGGUCCGGUACUGACGCUGAGGUGCGAAAGCGUAGGGGAGCAAACAGG